AGAGUUUGAUCAUGGCUCAGGACGAACGCUGGCGGCGUGCCUAAUACAUGCAAGUCGAGCGAAUUUACGAGAGCUUGCUCUCGUAAAUUAGCGGCGGACGGGUGAGUAACACGUGGGCAACCUGCCUAUAAGACUGGGAUAACUUCGGGAAACCGAAGCUAAUACCGGAUAAUUCACAUCUACUCAUGUAGAUGUGCUGAGAGACGGUUUACGCUGUCACUUAUAGAUGGGCCCGCGGCGCAUUAGCUAGUUGGUGAGGUAACGGCUCACCAAGGCCACGAUGCGUAACCAACCUGAGAGGGUGAUCGGCCACACUGGGACUGAGACACGGCCCAGACUCCUACGGGAGGCAGCAGUAGGGAAUCUUCCGCAAUGGACGAAAGUCUGACGGAGCAACGCCGCGUGAGUGAUGAGGGUUUUCGGAUCGUAAAACUCUGUUGUUAGGGAAGAACAAGUACCAGAGUAACUGCUGGUACCUUGACGGUACCUAACCAGAAAGCCACGGCUAACUACGUGCCAGCAGCCGCGGUAAUACGUAGGUGGCAAGCGUUGUCCGGAAUUAUUGGGCGUAAAGCGCGCGCAGGCGGUCCUUUAAGUCUGAUGUGAAAGCCCACGGCUCAACCGUGGAGGGUCAUUGGAAACUGGGGGACUUGAGUACAGAAGAGAAGAGUAGAAUUCCACGUGUAGCGGUGAAUGCGUAGAGAUGUGGAGGAACACCAGUGGCGAAGGCGACUCUUUGGUCUGUAACUGACGCUGAGGCGCGAAAGCGUGGGGAGCAAACAGGAUUAGAUACCCUGGUAGUCCACGCUGUAAACGAUGAGUGCUAAGUGUUAGAGGGUUUCCGCCCUUUAGUGCUGCAGCUAACGCAAUAAGCACUCCGCCUGGGGAGUACGGCCGCAAGGCUGAAACUCAAAGGAAUUGACGG
rnacentral:rRNA from 1 species